GUCUUUGUAGCUUAACUGUAAAGCAUGGCUUUGAAGCGGCCAAGAUAGGUUUCCUCGAAGACA
rnacentral:tRNA from 1 species